UAUUUUCUUAUUUUUUGUCAUUUUCUAUUCACCUUUCUCUCUCAUUCUCCACCAUCAACUUGCCGUGUUUCUCUCCCCGUGCUCUCCUCUUCAUCCCCAUCUCCACUAAUGUUCUCUUCUCCUUCUCCACUGCCACUAUCGUGCUCCUCUCCACCGUCACCCUCAAGGUAUAGUUUUUUACUGUUUUCCUUCUUUUCAUAUUUGCCCUAAUUUCAUUUGAUUUUUUUUUAUUGUGUUGAUGAAAUAAUUUUUUGAUUUUAUCUGAUUUUAUGAUUGUUUUAUGUUUGUUGAUAUUGAGUUGAUGUCAUGAUUGUUGACGUUGGGUGAUUUCCUCUUUUUAUAUUUGUCCUAAUGUGUUUGAUUAUUUUCUGAUUUAUUUUAUUUUACAACAUGAUAAAAACUAUGAUUGUUUUUUUUAUUGUGUUCAUAUUAAAAUGUUGAAAAAGUAAACGAGGAUUUCUUAUUGUUUUUUUGUGUGCUCAUAUUUGCUCUUUUUUCUCUAUAUCUUUGAUGUUUGAGUUUUAUGUUAAUUGUUUUUUAUAUAUAUUUACUAAUAAUAAACAUGUUUCAAAAAAAAUGAUGGAGAAUAAUAAUAGUUUUCCUCUGCCAUCUAUAGUAUGUGUUAUGAUUUAUUAAUAUUCUAUUUUGUGUUGAUGGAUAAUAAUAAUAAUAAUAAUAAUAAUAAUAAUAAUAAUAAUAAUAAUAAUAAUAAUAAUAUUGUUGAUACUUGAUAUAUAAGUAAAUUUGAAUUUGCAAGAAUAAAAUGAUGUGAUGCUAUAUUUAUUGUCAAAGCAAAUACUUUUAGAGAUUGUUAGAUUUUGUUUAACAAUUUUUAUUAUCGUGAGUCAUUUUUAUGAUUCUUGGACAUGCGUAUUAAAAAAUAAUAAAUUUAGUCUUUUUUUACUUUAUUUAUUAAAUAAAAAUAAAAUUAAUUCCAUACAUGUUUUUUGAGUUUUUAAGAGUAGAAAAAAACAUUAUUAAUUAUAUGAAUAAACUUUCGUAGGAUUCUUCUUAGUCAUAAAAAAAAAAUACUAAAUAGGAUUUUACCAAAAUAUAUGUAAAUAGUACUCUUUAUUCCUUUUUAAUUUUUAUUUUGUGACUUUUAAGCACUAAGACAAUCAAUAAAGUUAAUUAUUUUUAUAUUAUUAUUUAACUUUUUAAUAAUUUAUUAUUAAAUUUUAUUUUUUUUCUCAAUAAAUAAUUAAGAGUAUUAUUGAUAAAUUAAAUAGUAUGAUAUAAAGUAAAAUUAUGAAAAGAAGGAUUCACGUAAACUUAUAAAGCAAAGAGUUUGAUUGUUGGUUGAGUGAUAUAAAAAUUAAUUUUAAAUCAAUGAAUUUUAUAAAAUUAAUUUUAGUGAAAAGUUAGUUAAACAUAAAGUUGUUCAUGUUUAGAUAUAUUUAUAUAAAAAUCAAUUGAACAAUAAAUUGGAGUAUAAAAUUUAUAUUUGGAGUUAAAAAUUACAAGUUUACGUUUAAAAUAAAAAAUUACAAACUUAAGUUUUAAAUUAAAAUUCAUUUAAAAGAUAAAAUGAAUUAUACUCAACUAUAUUUAAAUAUAUCCAAAUCAAUAUUAAAUAUCUAAGAUUAAUUUUAAGAUAUCUAGACGCAAGGUAAAUCAAUUUUUUUUUCUUGAAGAUGGUAAUGGCAAUCAGCUCACCGAACAUAGUGAGUUAUGUCAUGUUACUAGAGACUAUUUUACUACUCUUUACCAUAACCCACAAAGCGUUCAUGCUCGUAUUUUGAAUGCUCUUUCACAUGUUAUUGAUGCAAAAGAUAAUGAUAAGUUGCUUGCUCUUUAACUAAUAGAAGAAUUCAAAGAAGCUGUUUUUUCUACGAAUGCAGAUAAUGUUAGAAUCAAGUUUGUUUGAAGAACUAUGAUCUUACUUGUUUUGAUGAUAACAAAAUCAAUUUGUGGGAAUAAUUUAAUGCACUAACGUUUUGAUUAACUAAGCAUGUACCAGGUCAAGAAUUUUAUAGGUUUUUAUGCCAUAUAAUCUGAUAAUUGGACUAAAACAAAUGAACAACAAAACUUUGCUUUUUUCUAAGUUUGACGAAAGCAUUCUAACACGUGCCUCUAGUGAUGCAAGUUACACUUUGUUUUGGUUGACUUCGAUAAUGCAAUCAAUGUUAUGGUUCUGGUGACUCUGGAAAUACAUGAUACGUUAUAUUUCGGUUGCCUCUGUUGUACACAAUUAUGCUCUGUUUGUCUGCCUAAUAAGCUUGAUAAGUGAUCGUCUGCCUCUGAUAAUCAUAUCAUCACAUCGCAUAUUUGAUCUUUGAUUGUAGUUUAUGAUGUAUGUUUUGAUGAAAGUCAAUGUUAUGAAGAAAACAAAGUAUUUGUGCAUCCUUUGAUGAACAUCUUGAAUUUACUACUUGUCUGAAGGUCCGUAAGAGAUGCUCUGAUCAUUGUAUCCUCUACUUCCUUGUCUUUAUAUCAAGAUACCUUGAAUCAAUUACAAUGAUCUAUUUUGGAAAGUUUCUAUGGCAAAACAAUGAUUUGUUUACAAUGAUCUACAAAUAAGUGUCUGAGGCUUAAUGGUUUGAAUCCAAGAUUUUAUCAGCAUUUUUGGUCUCUCUGUGGUAGUAAAAUUUAUCAAGAAUAUUGUGUUUGGCUUAUGACUAGUAUUUCCUAGUACAAUAAAUAUUACCAAUAUAGCUCUAAUCUCAAAAGGUGAUGAACAAAAGAUCAUGAAAGAUUGGCAACCUAUAGUUCUUCGUAAUGUGAUAUAUAAGAUUGUGGUAAGUGUUCUUGCAAACAAAUUAAAACAUGUUCUGCAUAAAUGUGUAUCUGAUAACCAAUCAACCUUUGUACCAAAUAGGUCCAUACUUGACAAUGCAAUGGCAACAAUUGAAAUUAUUCAUCAUAUGAAAACCAAUACUCGUGGUGAGUUGGUGACGUCACAUUGAAACUGGAUAUCGAUAAAGCUUAUGAUCACAUUGAUUUGGUUUACCUUCGAAAGGUGUUGACUACUUUGGGUUUUGCAAAUUAAUGGGUGAAUUGAAUUAUGUUAUGUGUCGAGUCAGUAGAGUACAAUGUCUUAGUGAAUAAUGACUGUGUUGGUCUUAUUAUCCCAAGAAGAAGUCUUUGAUAAGGUGAUCCAUUGUCGACGUAUCUAUUCAUCUUAUGUGUUGAAGGGUGAAACAUUGAGGUAACCUCUGUAGAGUCAAAGUGUAUUGUGAUGCCUCAGUUACUUCACACUUUUUGUUUGCAUAUGAUUGCUUAUUGUUCUUUAAAGCAUCUAUUAGAGAAACAUAAACUAUGAAAAAUAUUUUCUCAAUUUAUGAAGUCACGUUAGGUCAAUUUAUAAAUUUGCAAAAAUCUAAGGUGUUUUGUAGUAGAAAUGUGAACUGAAGACUUGAAAGGUAUGAUUACUAACCUUUUGGGUAUGUGCUCAAUAUUAGGGAAUGGAAAAUACUAGAGACUAUCGUUAAUGAUUGGUAUAAGUAAAACAAUACUCUUAGAUUCAUUAAAGACCGUGUAUGGUGGAAGAUCAACACAUGGUGUAAUAAAAGUCUCUUUUGAGCAGGUCGAUAAGUUUGAAUUAAAUCGGUUCUCAAAGCUAUUCCUGUUGGAACCAAGUUGGUUUUACAUUUAGAAUUUUGAUGUUAACAAAAGUAUUUUAUGAAAACAAUAUAUUUGACUUCAAAGAGUAUGAAAAAAGAUUCAUGUUUUUGAAGAAAAUCUAAAAUAAGAUUUGAUUCAAAUUUAUAAUUGAAGAAAAUCUAAAAUAAGAUUUGAUUCAAAUUUAUAAUUGAUGAAAAUCUAAAAUAAAAUUUUAUUCAUAUUUAUAAUUAAAGAAAAUCUUUGACCAAAUUGAAGAUAAGAUAUGGUCAAGAUUUGAAGAAGAUUUUAUUUGAAAAAUUUACAAACUCAAUCUACACAAAAUAGAAACAGAAUCAAUCUUCAGAAUUAAACAAGGACUAAAUUGAAGCCCAAAUUUUAACUAUAAAUAUACAUUCAAGGCUGAAGGAGAAAAGCAUCGAAAAACAUAAAAGAGUAACUCAAACUCAAAGUUCUCAAUUCAUCUUAGAGUUCAAAGAGAGAAACACUUGUUCAGGUUAGAAAUAUUUUCUGAGUGUUAUUUUCUUAGAGUGUGAGAGUUGUUAUUAUUAUCAACUUUGUUAGAAGCAACUACUCAAGUUCCAAAAUUGUGUAUCCAACCUGAUAGUGGUAUAGUUCAUUCUUCAAUCUGGGGUUGUUAGGAGAAAACUUGGUUUGUAGGAUCAAAGUGGUUAGUUCCUCAAAAGUAUGGGGGUUGUUAGGCUGUUUGAGAAGACUGACUUAGAGGGUCAUGUGCUUUGUAAUUCAAGGUAUUUGAAUUAGUAGAUUAAAGCCUUGUGAAUGAAGAGACUGAAUGUAACCAAGUAAGUGGUGAACCAGGAUAAAUAUAUGUGUCAAAUUAAUUAUAUUUUCAUUGUUUACUGCUUCUGAAUCCAAUUGCUUCUUAUUUGAGUAAUUCAUAAAAACCAACGAACCUUUAUCAAAUUCGUAAAAAUUUAUCAACUUUAUCAAACACAAUUCAACCACCCUUCUCUUGUUUGCACCUUCAAUUAUGUCCUAUGUAAUGAUCAUAUUCUGGCUACCUCCUGCUUUAGGGGAUGUGAUUAAAAAAAUGAUGAAUUCAUUUUGGUGGGGCAAAAAUGAAGGACAUGAUAGAGGCAUAAAUUGGCUAAAGUGGAACAAGCUCACCAUACAUAAACACGAUAGAGGUAUGAGUUUUAAAAUCACUAGUGCUUUCAAUCUCUCCAUGCUUGGUAAACAAGGUUUGAGGUUGCUAUCUAACAUGUACAACUUUGUCACUCAUCUUUUAAAAGUUGAAUACUUUCCCUAGAGUGAUUUUUUUGUCUACUAACAUUGGUCAGAAUCCAAGCUAUGUUUGGAGGAGUAUUUUGAGUUAUAAACCUCUUUUGCAGACGAGGUAUUGGUGGAGUGGUGGAAAUGGAUGUAGCAUCCCUUUGUAGAAUGAAAAUUGGCUAAGUGAUAGGUCUAUUCUUGUUAAACCACUAGGGGUGGAUGAUCAACUAGUAAAUGUUUGUGUUGAUAGUUUGAUUAUGCCUUAACAUAAAUAAUGGA
rnacentral:lncRNA from 1 species